rnacentral:rRNA from 1 species
UACGUAGGGGGCUAGCGUUGUCCGGAAUCAUUGGGCGUAAAGAGCGUGUAGGCGGCUCGGUAAGUCCGCUCUGAAAGCCCGGGGCUCAACCCCGGGAGGCGGGCGGAUACUGUCGGGCUAGAGUCCGGAAGAGGCGAGUGGAAUUCCUGGUGUAGCGGUGAAAUGCGCAGAUAUCAGGAGGAACACCAAUAGCGAAGGCAGCUCGCUGGGACGGUACUGACGCUGAGACGCGAAAGCGUGGGGAGCAAACAGG